rnacentral:rRNA from 1 species
CCAUGGAGCUGGAUUCGCUAGUAAUCGCGCAUCAGCCACGGCGCGGUGAAUACGUUCCCGGGCCUUGUACACACCGCCCGUCAAGCCAUGGAAGCCGGGAGUGCCUGAAGUACGCGACCGCAAGGAGCGUCCUAAGGUAAAACCGGUGACUGGGGCUAAGUCGUAACAAGGUAGC